UCGAGAAUUUUUCUCAAUGGGGGAAACCCUGAAGGAGCGACGCCGCGUGGAGGAUGAAGGUCUUCGGGUUGUAAACUCCUGUCAUUUGGGAACAAGGUGCGCGCGUUAACUGCGCGCGCAUUGAUAGUACCAGAAGAGGAAGAGACGGCUAACUCUGUGCCAGCAGCCGCGGUAAUACAGAGGUCUCAAGCGUUGUUCGGAUUCAUUGGGCGUAAAGGGUGCGUAGGCGGCGCGGUAAGUCGGGUGUGAAAUCUCGGAGCUUAACUCCGAAACUGCAUUCGAUACUGCCGUGCUUGAGGACUGGAGAGGAGACUGGAAUUUACGGUGUAGCGGUGAAAUGCGUAGAUAUCGUAAGGAAGACCAGUGGCGAAGGCGGGUCUCUGGACAGUUCCUGACGCUGAGGCACGAAGGCCAGGGGAGCAAAC
rnacentral:rRNA from 1 species